rnacentral:rRNA from 1 species
CGGCGAACGGGUGAGUAACACGUGGGUGAUCUGCCCUGCACUUCGGGAUAAGCCUGGGAAACUGGGUCUAAUACCGGAUAUGACCUCCUAUCGCAUGGUGGGUGGUGGAAAGAUUUAUCGGUGCAGGAUGGGCCCGCGGCCUAUCAGCUUGUUGGUGGGGUAAUGGCCUACCAAGGCGACGACGGGUAGCCGACCUGAGAGGGUGACCGGCCACACUGGGACUGAGACACGGCCCAGACUCCUACGGGAGGCAGCAGUGGGGAAUAUUGCACAAUGGGCGAAAGCCUGAUGCAGCGACGCCGCGUGAGGGAUGACGGCCUUCGGGUUGUAAACCUCUUUCAGCAGGGACGAAGCGCAAGUGACGGUACCUGCAGAAGAAGCACCGGCUAACUACGUGCCAGCAGCCGCGGUAAUACGUAGGGUGCAAGCGUUGUCCGGAAUUACUGGGCGUAAAGAGUUCGUAGGCGGUUUGUCGCGUCGUUUGUGAAAACCAGCAGCUCAACUGCUGGCUUGCAGGCGAUACGGGCAGACUUGAGUACUGCAGGGGAGACUGGAAUUCCUGGUGUAGCGGUGAAAUGCGCAGAUAUCAGGAGGAACACCGGUGGCGAAGGCGGGUCUCUGGGCAGUAACUGACGCUGAGGAACGAAAGCGUGGGUAGCGAACAGGAUUAGAUACCCUGGUAGUCCACGCCGUAAACGGUGGGCGCUAGGUGUGGGUUCCUUCCACGGAAUCCGUGCCGUAGCUAACGCAUUAAGCGCCCCGCCUGGGGAGUACGGCCG